CAGCGCCACGAGUGGUAACCGCGAUUAUUGGGCCUAAAGCAUCCGUAGCCGGCGCUGUAAGUUUUCGGUUAAAUCUGUACGCUCAACGUACAGGCUGCCGGGAAUACUGCAGCGCUAGGGAGUGGGAGAGGUAGACGGUACUCGGUAGGAAGGGGUAAAAUCCUUUGAUCUAUUGAUGACCACCUGUGGCGGAGGCGGUCUACCAGAACACGUCCGACGGUGAGGGAUGAAAGCUGGGGGAGCAAACCGGAUUAGAGACCCGCGUAGUCC
rnacentral:rRNA from 1 species